rnacentral:rRNA from 1 species
UUAUUAAUCUCAAUGUCAACAUCCUAAGCUCGAACGUGUCCGAAGACCGGCCAAAAGGCGAGCUGCAGUCCUCAGUCUCACCCAGUGUAUGCAAUAAUAGUCUAUAACACUCCCGGGGGAGCUACAUUCCUACUAUCUUUAUCCACCGGACAAAACUGAUGUUGACCCGUUCAAUGGAAGUAGACUAGAAGAACUAGCUGAAUCCAAAGAACACGACUGACUUCAAUCGUUUCCCUUUCAACAAUUUCACGUACUGUUUAACUCUCUUUCCAAAGUGCUUUUCAUCUUUCCCUCACGGUACUUGUUCGCUAUCGGUCUCUCGCCAAUAUUUAGCUUUAGAUGGAAUUUACCACCCAUUUUGAGCUGCAUUCCCAAACAACUCGACUCGUAGAGCGUGUAUCACAGAGCACUGGUGGUCGUAUCAAGCACGGGAUUGUCACCCUCUUUGAUACCCUGUUCCAAGGGACUUAGAUACGGUCCAGCACGGAAAACACGUCUAUAGAUUACAACUCGGACUAUCGAAGACAGCCAGAUUACAAAUUUGAGCUUUUCCCGGUUCACUCGCCGUUACUAAGGGAAUCCUAG